CGGAAUGGGCUCUGUUCCUUUGACCGGCCCUGCGGCUGAAAAGGGCUGCUUCUACGAGGGGCUGCUUUUAAAAUAGAGCCUUGGGAUUCUCUUUAAUGUUCUUGUUGUGUCGUUUUGUUUCAAGCUGCUGUGGGAUCCUCACUCGCGGUGAGGAUCAGCCCAAACCGGCGAGCGGUUCUGGUAGUAAGGAGGACCGUGGAGGCGGCGGGCGUUCGGGAGCUGUUAGGAUCUCUUGGGCUGAAGCAGGAGGCUGCCGGGUUGUCGGACCCUGCUCUUCCUGGGGCCGGCGUAGGGCUGCCGCCGGGCUCCGCGGGCUGUUUGCAGCCGAAGCAGCGUCGUUGCCCGGCUCCCAUCGCAUUUUCGGAGGGGGCUGCCGCUCGGAUCCGAGUCCUAGCCCAGCCCCGGGGUGCUCUCCGCGGUGCCCGCCUUCCCCCAGGUUGUGUGUGUGUGGUGUGUGUGUGGUUUUUUUUUUGUGUGUUUUUGUUUUUUUUUCUUUUUUUUAGCGGGUGCAUUAGUUCUUCCUGCUCUCAUGAAUAGGAGCAAGCAGAAUUGGAGCCGUAUUCCUACAGCCUCAGUGCUGCUAGGAGUAAGAAGCAACGCAAAGGGCUGCUGAAACAGAAGUUUUCUCCUCCUGCAGCCCUUGCUCAGCCUGCAAUAGAGCCUCUCGUCAGCCCGAGCUGGAAAGACGAGACUGGCAACGUGGUGGAGUUGCUCUUCCACUGUGAGAACAGGAACAUACUGAGGUCUGCCUGGGGAUGUAUGAAGAACUAGUGGAGUACUUGCAUGUGAGACUCAAGAGGCAGUGCUGGCAACCACUGUGCCUUGUGGUCCCUUACUCGAAGAGCUGGUUAAAGGGAUUAUUACUCCCUGGGACAACUGAUAUCGAUUGAUUUGCUGCAUGCUGAUCCUGUCCCUUUCACACUCAAAAAGCCUCUUAACAGAUACAUCUGGAAGGCUCAAGAUGAUCGGGGGAGAUGUAAAGUAACCAUCUGGAUUUCACCUGCCUUCCAACUGUGGUUCAUUUGGGACCAGAAAAGUUUUUUUGCUCUUGUCUCUUCUAGUUAAGCUUUUUCUAACCUUGGUUCCUCUGUGUAUGGGAACUGUUGAAUCAUGGCCUGAACCUCUGAUUGAUCACCCAAAACAAGUUAUAAGUGAACUGUGGCAGCACAGGUGAAGGCAAUUCAGUUGUGUGACUGGAAGGGGUGGAGCCUGGCUGCACCUCUCCUAAACCCUAUUUGAGGGCUGACUGCCACUGAGGAAGGACCUCUCUCUGCAGAUCACUCCUCCUGGAGUCUUUUUCUGUGAGCCCAGGACACAGUGACAACAAGCUUUGUGGCACUGGGUGGUGUGAGAAGAGGGAACAGUGCUUGGCGCAAACCUUGUUCAGAGGCAGCCAUCUGAUACAUGAGAAGCUGGAGAAUGCUUGGCUCAGAGCCUGUUCAACGGCAUCCAUCCAAGGCAUGACCUGCCCAACAAGCUUUUGAAGUAAAUGCUUGACUACUGUGAGCACAGAGGUGAGAGGACAUGCAUUGUUCCUCCUGAUGAACAAAAUGUGGAUACCGUGGCAGCUACCAUCACCAUGAUGGACACGACAUGAUGACCCUGAUCACUGAGGUAGGCAGGCCUGAAGAGUUCUGAGGAAGAAUGAGUAAGUCAAUGAGAUGUUGCUGACCAACCUGCUGCCUUGCCAUAGACCAAUAAGACACUGUUGGAUUCCCUGGUGGUGACUAUUUCUGCUCUGUAAACAGUUUGCUAGAAUUUGUCUUUACUAUUGCUAACUUCCCUAUCUUUCCUGAAUUCCUUGGUAGCUUAGAGCCUCUAAUGCUGAUUAUGCUCUGAUUCCAGACUUGCUGCUUGUUCAUAUUGGGAGGAAUCAUACAAUGGUGAAGAAAUUGUUAUUAAUAAUGUUUAUAUAUAUGGGGAAAAUAGCAAGAUUCAUUUUGAUAAAUGAUAAUCAUCAAGUUGGGAUAGUAAGGUAGUUUUCUACUAUUACAGGUAUUUUGUGGUCUGGUUUGAAAACCCAAGAGGGUAAAAAGGAAGAGGGGGAAUUGUGAGAGGUUGUCUCAUUUGCAGUGGCAAUUUCUAGUAUUCUGUAUGUAGCAUAAGGUAAGUUGUCUUUCACAAAGAAAGCUGCUGAGCACAGUAAAGCUGAGACUGGGCUGUUCUGGCAUAGGUAAAAUUGGCACAGGCACUAGGUAAGAUAAUUUUAUAGGCUAGGGGGGAGUCUGGUACAGGACAGAACUAGUGUACUAAUUGUUGAAAAUGUUGUCAUCCUCUUGCCAUAAAAGGUACAGAGCACACAAAGACAGUGGGUUGGUGACAGAUGUAUGGAAGCGUAAUGUAGCAACAGUGCUGGAAAGUUGUGAGCCUGAGACUAAACCAAGGAGUGCCAGGAGGCUUUACCUGUGUCAGACCUAGGGUAUGUAACAGAAUGGAUUUCACUGGCUAGUUGUGCAUUUUCUCCCUUGUCAGUGGGGAUUGUGUGGCCAUUAUUGCAAUAAUGAAUAAACUGUUCUUAACAGAUCUACGAUUAGAAGUUUUUGAUCCAGAGUGUGUUUCUCACAACUUGAACCACCCUGUCAGCUGUUAGGAAAGCAAGGCUGCCAAGAGUGCUCAUUCCAGAGGUUCUUGUAGUAUGUCAAAGAAAAUCUUCUGAUACAGGUGUUGAAGGAGCCAUUGGGAAGAGAGGUGUUGCUGGAGCUUGCUCUCCCUGUUGUAGAAGGACUCUUUGGGGACAGGAAGACCAGUGGUGGCCUCAAGUGUGGCAGGUGUGAGCUGCAGUGUUCAGUGCGGAAGAUGUGAAGCAAUGAGUAGAACUGAAACGCUGAACUUUGAGGGAGCCAACUUUGUCUUCUUAAAGGAUCUAUGUGAAGUUGUUGCUGCUGAGACUGCUUGUUGGGAACCCUGGAUUCUGGAGGAGCUGGUCAAAGGAAAGGUGCCUGAAGACUGAAGGAUAGCUGAUGGCCCUGCAGGCUUCAGAGAGGGUGAGAAGCAUGGCCUCAUCUCUGGGAAGGUGAUGUGACAACUUGUUCCAGUUAUGUCAUCUCCAAGUGACCAGAAGAGAAAUGUCUAAGGAGCAGAUGGGGGUGAGGACUAGUUUGAGUAUGUGAGUGAUGGAUCCGCAGAUAUGAACCCUCACACUGGAGGAUGGAACUGGUUCACAGCUCUUCCUGCAUGUUAAUGGCUGGAAUGAGGAUUCCAGUGAAGCAUGGCCUGGAAGGAAUGGAGUGAAGUGAGAGCAGCCCUUCUGUGCUGGAGUGUGGGGAUCUGAUGGAUCUCUCUGCUGAUCUGGUGGAGGAGCAGAGGAUGCUGUGGUGUGCCUGGCUGGUUUUGUUGCUUAAAAGGUUUCUAUCAGCUUUUGGAAGUGGUGUCUUGGAGCUGUCUGGUGUGUGUUAGGUGGCUUUGAGGUUAUUGAUUCCAGCAGCCAAAAGCACAGCUCCCACAAACUGAGAGCUGUGCUUUUGGCUGCUGGUUUGGGGCUGUUUGCUGGGAUUUGCACUA